UACGGAGGGUGCAAGCGUUGUUCGGAAUUACUGGGCGUAAAGCGCGCGUAGGCGGUUUGUUAAGUCAGAUGUGAAAGCCCUCGGCUCAACCGGGGACGUGCAUUUGAAACUGGCAGACUUGAGUAUUGGAGGGGGUGGUGGAAUUCCCGGUGUAGAGGUGAAAUUCGUAGAUAUCGGGAGGAAUACCGGUGGCGAAGGCGACCACCUGGCCAAAUACUGACGCUGAGGUGCGAAAGCGUGGGGAGCAAACAGG
rnacentral:rRNA from 1 species